ACCGCAGACCGCCUUAUCGUCGUUCCGGUGAAUAAUCGGGAGGGAGGAAAGUCCGGACACCAUAGAGCAGCAUAGCGGGUAAUGCCCGUCCGUCGAGAGAUGAGGACAAGUGCAACAGAAAGUAUGUACAGGUAAUGCUGUAGUGAAACCAGGUAAACUCUAUGCGGUGAAAUGCCAAGUAUAUCAGCAGUUUCCGGUUCGCCGGAAUAAGGGCGGCUCGUCCGAUGCUGAAGGGUAGGCAGCUUGAUCCCGAUAGUAAUAUCGGGACUAGAUAAAUGAUAAGGGUUCCGAUUUUAUCGGAAUACAGAAUCCGGCUUACAGGUCUGCUUUUUUU
rnacentral:RNase_P_RNA from 1 species